GAAAAGUUAGUUUAAUAAUAAAACAUUAAUUUGUCAAAUUAAAAAUAUAAAUAUUAUACUUUUCU
rnacentral:tRNA from 1 species